rnacentral:rRNA from 1 species
CGCGUAGGCGGCCAUUCAAGUCGGAGGUGAAAGCCCAGGGCUCAACCCUGGAAUUGCCUUCGAUACUGUUUGGCUAGAGACCGGAAGAGGUAAGUGGAACUGCGAGUGUAGAGGUGAAAUUCGUAGAUAUUCGCAAGAACACCAGUGGCGAAGGCGGCUUACUGGUCCGGUUCUGACGCUGAGGCGCGAAAGCGUGGGGAGCAAACGG